GGGCUGCAGUGAGGAAUCUUGCGCAAUGGGGGAAACCCUGACGCAGCCACGCCGCGUGGGUGAAGAAGGCCUUCGGGUCGUAAAGCCCUGUCAGGUGGGAAGAACCGCAUUGAACUUAAUAAGUUCUUUGCCUGACGGUACCACCAAAGGAAGCACCGGCUAACUCCGUGCCAGCAGCCGCGGUAAUACGGAGGGUGCAAGCGUUGUUCGGAAUUACUGGGCGUAAAGAGUGUGUAGGCGGCUAAGUAAGUCAUAUGUGAAAGCCCUCGGCUCAACCGAGGAAGUGCAUGUGAUACUGCUUAGCUUGAGUCCUGGAGAGGGGUGUGGAAUUCCCGGUGUAGAGGUGAAAUUCGUAGAUAUCGGGAGGAACACCAGUGGCGAAGGCGACACCCUGGACGGAGACUGACGCUGAGACACGAAAGCGUGGGUAGCAAACAGGAUUAGAUACCCCAGUAGUC
rnacentral:rRNA from 1 species